AGUGAACGCUGGCGGUAGGCCUAACACAUGCAAGUCGAACGGAAGCACAGUAAGAGUUUGCUCUUACGGGUGGCGAGUGGCGGACGGGUGAGGAAUACAUCGGAUUCUACUUUUUCGUGGGGGAUAACGUAGGGAAACUUACGCUAAUACCGCAUACGACCUACGGGUGAAAGCAGGGGAUCUUCGCACCUUGCGCGAUUGAAUGAGCCGAUGUCGGAUUAGCUAGUUGGCGGGGUAAAGGCCCACCAAGGCGACGAUGCGUAGCUGGUCUGAGAGGAUGAUCGGCCACACUGGAACUGAGACACGGUCCAGACUCCUACGGGAGGCAGCAGUGGGGAAUAUUCGACAAUGGGCGAAAGCCUGACGCAGCAAUACCGCGUGAGUGAAGAAGGCCUUCGGAUCGUAAAGCCCUUUUGUUAGGAAAGAAAAGCAGUAGAUUAAUACCCGGCUGUUCUGACGGUACCUAAAGAAUAAGCACCGGCUAACUUCGUG
rnacentral:rRNA from 1 species